rnacentral:rRNA from 1 species
UACAGAGGGGGCAAGCGUUGUUCGGAAUUACUGGGCGUAAAGGGCGCGUAGGCGGCCUUCUAAGUCGAACGUGAAAUCCCCGGGCUCAACCCGGGAACUGCGUCCGAUACUGGAAGGCUUGAAUCCGGGAGAGGGAUGUGGAAUUCCAGGUGUAGCGGUGAAAUGCGUAGAUAUCUGGAGGAACACCGGUGGCGAAGGCGAACAUCCUGGACCGGUAUUGACGCUGAGGCGCGAAAGCCAGGGGAGCAAAGCGGGAUUAAGAAA